rnacentral:lncRNA from 1 species
GUGGUCAUCGUCGUCGUCGUUCUUAUUCACAGCAGAAAAUAGAUAAUCUCAUAGAGCGAUAAUCCAUAGUUUCAUCCAUCACCAUCAUUGAUGAGUGGAUGGGGGGCAGCGCCGAUUGCCGCCUCCUUUGCCAACGCCGAUGUGAGUGCAAGGAGAAGAAGCAGAUGGUGGAACAGGCCCCCGUGCCAUUACAACCGCCUCUUUGGAGCUGCUCUGAACCCUAGAACCUUCCACCGGAGCCAGGGUGAUCAGAAUCAGCCAGAGAUAGAGUGGUAUGGAGAUCCACUUCAUCACUUUCUUGAACGCAUUCAUGAUAGAAACUCGGUGCUAUACAUACAGAGUACCAGUGUUAUAUAGAAG